rnacentral:lncRNA from 1 species
GCUCCACAAGCCCAGCUCCCUCAGCCUCUCUUCCCAGCAGAGCUCCUGCAGCCUCUGGGCAUCCUCGCGGCCUCCCCACGUCCUUCUGGGGCUGGGGCCCUUCCUCUCCUCACUCCUGCAUUCAGCCCCUCUCUGCAGCACUCUUUGCUUUCCUCCUUUCCAGAUAAGGCAAGGAAACUGUGCAAAGACACAUCCGUGGAAUUCAUCGAGGCUUAUGUCCGCGGCACAGAAAAGGUAACGGCAACCGCUUGCAUCGCAGCCGUGCUCCUGGCGCUGCCACGGCUCUGCUGCGGGGCUGCUGGAGGGCUGCUGGCUGGGCAGAGCCGUGGCCUCCGGGCGUCCCACACAGCUCCAGACCCCUCAAGGCUUUGGUCCUGCUGGCCGUGGGUGUCCCCCUAACGCUCUGUUGGUGUCUUUGUGGCUGCCAGGACAAGGAGGCGCAGAAGAUGCUGUUCCUCAGCAAAAUCUGCGCUCUGUGCAGAACUGUUUCGGAGAAGGGCUUGACGCUGGACUUGCAUGCCUUCUGCCGCAAAAAUAAGCUGGUGGAGAACAUCAUGGUGAGAGGAUGUGCGGCGGGUUGGGGAAGGGGCAAGACCCCCGGCACCAGCCCCCUGGGAGGCCGGGGCUGGGGCAGCGCUGGCUCUGCUGGUGCUGGGUGCCGGCGGCUGCAAGGUCUCAUCCCGCUUGUGCUCUGCAGGCGCUGCUGGAAAAGGAGCCCAUGGACAGCUUGCGCACAGAAUUUCGGCAGAAGGCCAUGGAGACCAUCGCCGUCCUCAGCAACACCGUGCCGAGAGCACUGCACGGCAAAAAGGAGAGUCUCCGGAACGCGUGCUACAGGAGCGUCUUCUUUCUGCCUCCGGAGUCGGAUGUGCCAGAGACAGAAAGAGCGCUCUACACCAAGGUAUGUGCUGGGCGAGGUACCGGCACCCCCAGUCCUGCUGAGCUGCUGCCUUGCUUCCCCGUGCUGAGACAACUGGAGACCAGUGCAGGGCCGGGGCCCAGAUUUGCUUUCCCAGCCUCAUCCCUUCUUCCCCUUCCCCUUCCCUGGCCUGAUCCUGUGCUGCAGGAGGUCUGCACGCAGCAGCUUUUUAGCCCCAAAGCCACCCCUGGGCUCCAGAGGGGCUCAGAGCCAGCUCCUGGGGCUGAGAAGGGCCACAGAAAUAAUUCAGUGAUCAUCUGUCCUCCUUGCAGACUAUGAAUGCCAUGGACCCCAUGCUGGCGGCCUUCGUACGCAACUGUCCCACCGCCAGCAUCAGCGCAGAGUUGCAGAAUAUCUUGGAGGUUUGGCAUUUGCAAAGAAUUUCCAAAGAAUCCUCUCAGGUCACAUUUGCAGACCCCUGUCAGCCCAGCAACUUCUCUCCUUGCAGGUGCU